rnacentral:rRNA from 1 species
UGGGGAAUUUUGGACAAUGGGCGAAAGCCUGAUCCAGCAAUGCCGCGUGUGUGAAGAAGGCCUUCGGGUUGUAAAGCACUUUUGUCCGGAAAGAAAUCCUUGGCUCUAAUACAGUCGGGGGAUGACGGUACCGGAAGAAUAAGCACCGGCUAACUACGUGCCAGCAGCCGCGGUAAUACGUAGGGUGCAAGCGUUAAUCGGAAUUACUGGGCGUAAAGCGUGCGCAGGCGGUUUGCUAAGACCGAUGUGAAAUCCCCGGGCUCAACCUGGGAACUGCAUUGGUGACUGGCAGGCUAGAGUAUGGCAGAGGGGGGUAGAAUUCCACGUGUAGCAGUGAAAUGCGUAGAGAUGUGGAGGAAUACCGAUGGCGAAGGCAGCCCCCUGGGCCAAUACUGACGCUCAUGCACGAAAGCGUGGGGAGCAAACAGGAUUAGAUACCCUGGUAGUCCACGCCCUAAACGAUGUCAACUAGUUGUUGGGGAUUCAUUUCCUUAGUAACGUAGCUAACGCGUGAAGUUGACCGCCUGGGGAGUACGGUCGCAAGAUUAAAACUUAAAGGAAUUG